AUCCUAUGCAUCAUUUUCUACCUAACAUCAGUGAUUUGUUCUCUCUUUAUCUUCUAAUUUUCAGCUUUUCAUUAUUCAAGCUAAUAGUUUUCUCGAGAGUACACAAAAACACAGAGGAACAAAGCAACUAUAUCAGAAUUUUCAUCAAGUGAUAAGAUACUGAGAACUUGAAAGGGAGGAAACUUGAAAGGCACUUAGAGUCAUGGAGAAUGAAGGACAAAGAGAGAAAGGAGAAGCUAACAACUUUAUGGUGUCAUUUUCUGCUCUUCGCAAGGACGUUGUUGAGCAGUAUCUUGCUGAGCAAUUUGAGCAGUUGACUCUCCAAGCUAGCACAUCUACUCAUGAAAAUUAUUCCAAUUGAACUGGAGGUGAUGCAAAUAUGUUAUACAAAUUUGAAAGCUUCACCAUCAGCAGAAGUUGGAUGCUUUAUCACGCAACUCCUUGAAACCUCUCCGGAAGUUCUGAGAAAAUAUCUGAUUCACUUACAAGAGUACAUGGUAAUUGUUAUUGCCGCAAGAACUUCAGGGGCUCGAAACAUACAGGUCAUAAUGGAGUUUCUGUUGAUUAUUCUUACUGACAUGCCUAGAGACUUUAUUCAUCAUGACAAAUUAUUUGAUCUUUUGGCACGUAUUGGAGCACGUACCACCAAGGUAUCAACUCUUGUUUGUGACUUAGAAGAAAAAUCACGGAAUGAAGAGAGUAUUGAUGAAACAAGUCGUGCAACUCAAGACUUGCUGAAAAAUAUUGAACUCCUCAAGGAAGAUGUCAAAUAUGUUUAGCUGAAAGCCCCGGACCCAUGUCAAUGGAGCUUCCCCAUGAGUGAUGGACCGCUCUUUAUGCAUCUGCUACACAGACACUUAACUGAUUUGCUAGAUUCCGAU